AUGAGGUCCACCGGGCGCAGGGGGUGGAAGGCGCAUUUCCUGGGUCCUGGCAGGCGCGCGCGGCCCUUCUCGCCCUGUCGCCCAGGAUGGAGUGCAGUGCAGUGGCGCAAUUCUACAACCUCCGAUCACUACAACCUCCCCCGUCUGGGGUUCAAGAGAUUCUCCUGCCUCAGCCUUCCGAGUAGCUGGGAUUACAGGCGUGCGCCAACUUGCCCAGACGAUCCUUUUAAACGCAAAAUGCCAUCGACGCAGAAAUUCAAAGGUAUCCAUUGCGUCUGUGCACUUGAGUUCUAGGAUAUGGCAAAGAAAAACAAUUUAAAUACUACAUAAAUUCAGUAGGAACAAGAUGCUGACUGAUAAGUACUCUGUGUAUCUCCUUAAGCUGCGCUUUCCAGUAGGCUGUUCUCUAGCCAUAUGUGGCUACUCAGGACUUGAAAUGUGGUUGACACGGAAAAAUGGAAUCAUUAAUUGAAUUUGAAUUAAACUAAAAACAAAACAAAACCCUGAUGCCUCAUUCAAUUGUUGGAACACUUUUAAGUAUGUUUGCAACAAGAUAUAUGAAUCUGUUUUUCAAACUUAAAUUUUAUGAACUCUAACUUUAGCAUGUGAAUUGAGAUGUGCUGUAAGUAUAUAUCAGCUGGAUUUUUCUUUCUGGACUUAGUACAAGAAAUUUUCAAAAAGAAUAUUGAAUUGCACAUUAAAAAUUUUAUAUAUGUUUAAAUAUUUUGGAUAUAAUGGGUUAAAAAAAUUAAAAUAAAUUGUACCUGUUGCAUUAGAUAACGCUGGCU
rnacentral:lncRNA from 13 species